AAUCUUACCGGGUCCGGACGUAUCGAGGAUUGACAGAUAGUUAUACAUGCCCUACAAGCAAGUAGGAGUCAGGUUUUAAACCUAAUGGCUCUUUCAUGAUUAUAUGAUAGGUGGUGCAUGGCCGUUCUUAGUUCGUGGAGUGAUCUGUCUGCUUAAUUGCGUUUCAAAAUUUAACUUGAGGACCGGGUUUUGGUUUGGCUAGUGGUCCUACGAUGACUGUGAACUGUCAUGUCUUCGGAUGUACGACUAUCGGUCUAGGAUCACAUGACUUGCCCCUGGGACUCUUUUGAACGCAACGGACGUGAUUGCAACCCCUUGUUGAGAUUAGAGAUAGUCUCGAUAUUCACUGGCCAAACUGGCUGCUUUAUGCAGUCUUGUUGAAUGGUGGAUAAACUCGGGGGACUGCUGACUAUAACCAUUUCUCAAAACAGAGGAAGGUUGCGGCAAUAACAGGUCUGUGAUGCCCUCAGAUGUCCCGGGCUGCACACGUGCUACAAUGAGUGGCGCAAUGUGCUAAUGUUUUAAGGGAUAAGCGUGCGGCCAGUA
rnacentral:rRNA from 1 species